rnacentral:lncRNA from 1 species
UUGUGGGUAGUCGAUCGCCGUAAUCUGAUCACCGUCGGAGGGCUCUGAUCGUCACGUCAUAGCCACACAAAUGUCUGACCUCUGCGGAUCAUCCACACGAAGCUCCCAUCUGAUCAGCUCCUCACGAAUGCUAGUUCGUGAUUUCAUCCUUUUGAUGGCAGAUGUUGAUCGAACUCCUUCGAUCGAUGUGUGCCGACUUCUCGGACACUCUGGAUCAUCUGCACAGUUGCUUGAGAGGCUGAUGGAUCUCUCCCUGAAAUUUGGUGGACUCAUGACACUUGUGGCACACCAAUCUCACUUCCCGAACCCUAGGUAGAAACCCUAGGGUACACACCAAAAACCCUGCGCCCAAUUUUCUCUCUUUUCUUUCUUUUUCUCUCGGAAGGUUUUGGACCUUCACCUUGCACAGAAGCCUUCCUCACGCCUCAAAGUUUCUCUCCUAAAAUUUCUACUCACGUCCCACCUUUCUCCUCUUUUUAAAACAACGUCGAACGUGUCUUAUCCGCGUGAGAGGAUAAAGACAAGAGGUUACACAUUUGAAUUCAAAUCAAAUUUGAAUUCAAACGAAAAUCAACUUAUCCCUAUCCUUUUGGGCGUGAGAAGAGAAGGGGCGUGGCUCUUUGUGUAUAGAAAAUGUUUCACGAGAAACCUUUUCUCGUGUAAGUAAUGUGGCGCACAAAAUGGAUAAGGAUGAAAGGGCA